AACGAACGCUGGCGGCAGGCCUAACACAUGCAAGUCGAGCGCGCCCUUCGGGGUGAGCGGCGGACGGGUGAGUAACGCGUGGGAACGUGCCCUUCUCUGCGGAAUAGCCUCGGGAAACUGAGAGUAAUACCGCAUACGCCCUUUGGGGGAAAGAUUUAUCGGAGAAGGAUCGGCCCGCGUUGGAUUCGGUAGUUGGUGGGGUAAUGGCCCACCAAGCCGACGAUCCAUAGCUGGUUUGAGAGGAUGAUCAGCCACACUGGGACUGAGACACGGCCCAGACUCCUACGGGAGGCAGCAGUGGGGAAUCUUAGACAAUGGGGGCAACCCUGAUCUAGCCAUGCCGCGUGAGUGAUGAAGGCCUUAGGGUUGUAAAGCUCUUUCAGCUGGGAAGAUAAUGACGGUACCAGCAGAAGAAGCCCCGGCUAACUCCGUG
rnacentral:rRNA from 1 species